rnacentral:rRNA from 3 species
UACGUAUGGUGCAAGCGUUAUCCGGAUUUACUGGGUGUAAAGGGAGCGUAGACGGCUGUGUAAGUCUGAAGUGAAAGCCCGGGGCUCAACCCCGGGACUGCUUUGGAAACUAUGCAGCUAGAGUGUCGGAGAGGUAAGUGGAAUUCCCAGUGUAGCGGUGAAAUGCGUAGAUAUUGGGAGGAACACCAGUGGCGAAGGCGGCUUACUGGACGAUGACUGACGUUGAGGCUCGAAAGCGUGGGGAGCAAACAGG